rnacentral:rRNA from 1 species
CCCAUGGCCGCAGCUUACACAUGCAAGUCGAGCGAGGACUUCGGUUCUAGCGGCGGACGGGUGAGUAACGCGUGGGAACGUGCCCUUUGCUACGGAAUAGCCCCGGGAAACUGGGAGUAAUACCGUAUGUGCCCUUUGGGGGAAAGAUUUAUCGGCAAAGGAUCGGCCCGCGUUGGAUUAGGUAGUUGGUGGGGUAAUGGCCCACCAAGCCGACGAUCCAUAGCUGGUUUGAGAGGAUGAUCAGCCACACUGGGACUGAGACACGGCCCAGACUCCUACGGGAGGCAGCAGUGGGGAAUCUUAGACAAUGGGGGCAACCCUGAUCUAGCCAUGCCGCGUGAGUGAUGAAGGCCUUAGGGUUGUAAAGCUCUUUCAGCUGGGAAGAUAAUGACGGUACCAGCAGAAGAAGCCCCGGCUAACUCCGUGCCAGCAGCCGCGGUAAUACGGAGGGGGCUAGCGUUGUUCGGAAUUACUGGGCGUAAAGCGCACGUAGGCGGACUGGAAAAUCAGAGGUGAAAUCCCAGGGCUCAACCUUGGAACUGCCUUUGAAACUAUCAUUCUGGAGUUCGAGAGAGGUGAGUGGAAUUCCUAGUGUAGAGGUGAAAU